rnacentral:lncRNA from 1 species
UAUAUUAAGUAUAUAGCAAGAUGAGAGCAAUCUAAUUAAUUUUCAGAGUAUAGUAUAAGAGCAGAUAAAGAUCAAAGCUUAUAUACUCGAAAAACAUAAGAUUAUGUUGAAUCCUUAAUUCUUAAUGACUUCAAAGUUCUUUCAUGAUAUAAAAGUAUUGGGGCAUAGAUACCAAAACAUGAAUUUAUGCAAUGUAGGAUUCAUAAAAUUCAAGGCUUUGAAAGUUCUUUUAGAGCUCUCUUAAAGACUUUCUUUUACUUCUUUAAAGAUCAUAGCAUCAAAAUCAAUUAAAAUG